rnacentral:rRNA from 1 species
AGGGUGUAAACGCUGCGGGCUCGGUGUUGGGGGUCCUUAGUGGGCGCCCAGUGCCGGAGAGAAGUUGUUAAGCCUGCUGCUUGGGGAGUAUGUCCGCAAGGAUGAAACUUAAAGGAAUUGGCGGGGGAGCACCGCAACGGGAGGAGCGUGCGGUUCAAUUGGAUUCAACGCCGAAAAAACUCACCACGGAGCGACGGAUAUAUGAAGGUCAAGCUGAUGACUUUACCUGAUUUUCCGAGAGGAGUGCAUGGCGUAGUCGUGU